rnacentral:rRNA from 1 species
GACGAACGCUGGCGGCGUGCCUAAUACAUGCAAGUAGAACGCUGAAGGAGGAGCUUGCUCUUCUGGAUGAGUUGCGAACGGGUGAGUAACGCGUAGGUAACCUGCCUGGUAGCGGGGGAUAACUAUUGGAAACGAUAGCUAAUACCGCAUAACAGUAGAUGUUGCAUGACAUUUGCUUAAAAGGUGCAAUUGCACCACUACCAGAUGGACCUGCGUUGUAUUAGCUAGUUGGUGGGGUAACGGCUCACCAAGGCGACGAUACAUAGCCGACCUGAGAGGGUGAUCGGCCACACUGGGACUGAGACACGGCCCAGACUCCUACGGGAGGCAGCAGUAGGGGAUCUUCGGCAAUGGACGGAAGUCUGACCGAGCAACGCCGCGUGAGUGAAGAAGGGUUUCGGAUCGUAAAGCUCUGUUGUAAGAGAAGAACGAGUGUGAGAGUGGAAAGUUCACACUGUGACGGUAUCUUACCAGAAAGGGACGGCUAACUACGUG